AAGGUAUCGGAUGGGCAUGCGUCCUAUUAGUUAGUUGGCGGGGUAACAGGCCCACCAAGACGAUGAUAGGUAGGGGUUCUGAGAGGAAGGUCCCCCACAUUGGAACUGAGACACGGUCCAAACUCCUACGGGAGGCAGCAGUGAGGAAUAUUGGUCAAUGGACGUAAGUCUGAACCAGCCAAGUCGCGUGAGGGAAGACUGCCCUAUGGGUUGUAAACCUCUUUUAUAAGGGAAGAAUAAGUUCUACGUGUAGAAUGAUGCCUGUACCUUAUGAAUAAGCAUCGGCUAACUCCGUGCCAGCAGCCGCGGUAAUACGGAGGAUGCGAGCGUUAUCCGGAUUUAUUGGGUUUAAAGGGUGCGUAGGCGGUUUAUUAAGUUAGUGGUUAAAUAUUUGAGCUAAACUCAAUUGUGCCAUUAAUACUGGUAAACUGGAGUACAGACGAGGUAGGCGGAAUAAGUUAAGUAGCGGUGAAAUGCAUAGAUAUAACUUAGAACUCCGAUAGCGAAGGCAGCUUACCAGACUGUAACUGACGCUGAUGCACGAGAGCGUGGGUAGCGAACAGGAUUAGAUACCCUGGUAGUCCACGCCGUAAACGAUGCUCACUGGUUCUGUGCGAUAUAUUGUACGGGAUUAAGCGAAAGUAUUAAGUGAGCCACCUGGGGAGU
rnacentral:rRNA from 1 species